rnacentral:rRNA from 1 species
UACGUAGGGUGCAAGCGUUGUCCGGAAUUAUUGGGCGUAAAGAGCUCGUAGGCGGUCUGUCGCGUCGGCUGUGAAAACUCGGGGCUCAACCCCGAGCCUGCAGUCGAUACGGGCAGACUAGAGUGCUGUAGGGGGGACUGGAAUUCCUGGUGUAGCGGUGAAAUGCGCAGAUAUCAGGAGGAACACCGGUGGCGAAGGCGGGUCUCUGGGCAGUAACUGACGCUGAGGCGCGAAAGCUAGGGGAGCGAACGGG